GAAAGCAGUCCCUGUUGAGCUUGACUCUAGUCUGCAACUGUGAAGAGACAUGAGAGGUGUAGGAUAAGUGGGAGGCCCCCGUGCUCGCCACAAAAGGGCGCCGCCGGUGAAAUACCACUAC